ensembl:lncRNA
GGGAGAGCGCUGGGAAUGAGCGCUGGGAAUGAGCGCAGCGUUAAAGCCCCGCUGAUACGCGUAAUGAAUCCAAAGGAACCCGCGGCAGCAGAGUUAACACCUCCGCGGGAGGAGGGGGGAAAUAAUCGAGGAAGCAAUUAAUAAAGGGCUUUAAAAAAUCAAUUUCCCCCUGCGCGAAUUGGAAAUGAUGAUGGAGGGGACAGGGAUGGAUCGCUGGGUGUCGGCAGCGCGAGUUGUUGCGCCUUCGUGUCUCGGCCGCGUCCUUCCCCCGGAGUUGGCGGAGGGGCCGCGGACGCCGCGCACAGUGACACGCGGAGCUGUCAGCCCGAACGCUCCGUACGCGUCGCACGGCCCCGCAUGAAUAAUACGGGCAAAUGGGAGACGUGGGAGCAAUGUCUUAAAGGAAAAAAAAAAAAAAAAAAAAAAAGAAAGAAAGAAAGAAAAAAAAACAGAAAAAGAAAAAAAGCAGACUCCGGAGCCACACUCAGCCAUGUGCCUGCGUCGGAGUUUAUGCUUAUGCGCAGCGAUGUUCAAUGCAUUUAGGCUGCCAGUUUGCCUUUCCCGGACCGUUCUCCCCACUCCCAGCCUCGCUCCCCUCCGCUACCCCUGGGGCCCCCGUCCUCGAGGACCAGGACAAACCAACCCUUCUCCCCAAAAACAGCUGCCAGAGGGAGGGAAGCCCCGUGGCGCUCCCGUUUCUCGCUGCCCCCCGGGACAGCCGUCACCCUCCCCCGGCUCCAACAGCGCGGAAAAUGAGCGGCCCGACGGCACCGACGGCUGCGAGGAGGCGGCCUUUUGGGGAGCACGGGCGUGAGGACACCCGCCUCAGGGUCACUCCCAAUGCAAAAAGCGAAACAAAGCAUCGGAAAAGGAAAGGAGGGGAAAAAGUGGGAAAAAUAAAUAAAUAAGAAUGAAAAGAAGAGGUACGGAUCGCAGCUCCUCCCCCCUGGGGACCCGGCCGACGGCCAACGCAGGGGCGCGGGGGUUGCCGGGCCCGUCCCGUCGCAGGUGGGGAGCGCCCCCCCCCCGCAACGUACGGGCAGCGAGGGCACGAAGAGGAGCGCGGACGAAGACUCUGCACUUAUCACAUCUCCUUCCUGGAAGCCAAAUGCAGGGCAAUAUCUCACAACAUCUCCACAUGUUCCCUGCCCAUCACCAGACCUGCAGUUCUCAGGGCGAUGUUGCGUGGAAGGAGAGGAGCCAUGCAGUACGUAGACCCCACACCUGCACCAUGUAGAUGCACGGAUCCUGUGCUGGAAUGGCAGGGGAGAGCAGAGCCCAGCACUGCCUCUCUAAUUUGAGACAUGUCUGGAUGUAAAGCCGCUGUGUGUGUUGUCAAGUCCCGUUGUCUUCAACAUUUGUAAGUGAAGUGCCAUUCUCUUCAAAAAUCAUGUCCCACGUACCUCACAAAUCACCAAAGGUGAGGCACUCAAAUUAGAGAGUGCAUUCGAGAAGGAAGGUUUAAGUAAUUACACACUGUUAGGUUUUUUUGUAUUACAGUAAAAGAGGGUAUGAUCAGAUUAAACCUGGCAGACCUAGCUGGAACAGUUUAAGGAGUCUCCAUCACAGCUGUUUUUGCCAUGCCUCUGCCAGAGGCAGCCUCUUUCUCCCCACAACAGAGAAGCAGUGGGUGCUCCCCUCGGCUGCCUCACGUGCACACAUGAGCAGCACUGAGGAUUGCUGCAGUCACAGUUUGGGCAACUGCAUGUUCACUUAAAACGCUUGGAACUGACUAAUCCCUAAUUUUUUUACCAAUAUGUGAGUGAAAUGCGUUGGGGUUUUCUGAAUAAUUUUCCUUGCUGAAAUUUUUACGUCAUAGCCCAUGUGAUUGUUUUUCCAGAAACACACAGAUGCAAUUAAUUUUAAAAAUAACUCACUAGUAACAGCAACUAAACAUGGCUGUGUUUUUGCCCCUUACUUUCUAAGAUUUUUCAUUAAAAAAAAAAAAAGAGUUGUUUUGUUUCAUUUUCAUCCUUGUUUGCUGUUUUGUUUUCCCAUGGCAAAUAUCCAGGCUCUGUGGACACAGACUUUAUGCUGCUUGAGGGAGGAGAUGUGAAAAUGAUACCGUCCUUCAGAGAAUCAUAAUGUGAGCGAGGGAGAAGAAAACUUCCUCUGUGGUCUAUUUGUGCAUUACCAGGCAACCUUCCCGUGCCUCAAGAUCCUUCAUAUUCAGAUAUAUCAUCCUUACAUAACAGAUAGAUUGGAUGAAAUGUCAAAUGUAAACUGUGGAUGCUUAGAAUUUCUAUUACUUCUAAAGUGAUUUUAAAAUAAAACAGGUCCAGUGGGAGAGACAUUGCAUUAGUACAUUUGCUAAUCCUAAAUUGUACUUUAAGAAAGAUUUUUGGCAGGGGUGGUUGAACAGACAUUUCUUAACAUUGCUUCAUUUUUAUAUUUUAUUAGACAGUCGAUCAGUAAGAAGGCUCCGCAGUCACCAGUUUUUCCUACCUCCAAGUUAGACUUGAGCUGCAAGCCAGGUGACCUCAUGUGCUUCUCCUAUUUGCCAAGCUGAAAGGAAGACGUCAGGCUUAGGUCUGCUACUGGAAGCCAUCUUCAGUGUAAAGAAAGAUAAAGAAUUUUGCAAAACAAUCAUCAAAAAUUCUGAAAUUUAUUUGCCACGCAAAACUAUUUGCAGAACAUCAGUACUGUUUUCUUGUUGUUUUUUUUUUUUAAUUAUAUUUGACAAAUAAUAAAUUAUACAGACUCCUUAAUCCAAGUCAAUAUUCACUAGGAAAAUACUUACAUAAUCUUCAUAGUCAUGUUCUUCAAAAAACUGAAGCAAGUGCAUACGGCUCAGUUGCAUAUGGGACCUUACUUAGAGCUGGACUGGGUGACCCACUGGGGUCCUUUCCUACCUGAAUUACACUGCCAUCCUAAAAAUCACUGUUUACUGUGCUUCUGAUGGACACAGACCAUAAAUUCCUGAUGCUAAAUAUCAAAGCCACUUGUGUAACCACCGUCUCCAGAACAGACUGAUCCCAAGAGAUUUGCUCAUGAUGGAGAUGCACAACACUUCUUCUUGGGAAAUAGAUUUAGAUGUAUUGCUGCUUCUGAAAUACUGGACCUUCUAUUCUUGGCUGUCACCGCAGGGAUUUGGGAUUUCUGUCUUGGUCAUGAGGGUACGUGACUUGGGGCAUGGGAGAGUGCAGGUUUGGGAGGGUGACCAAGCCAGACCCAUCCUACUCCAACACAGAAUUACCUCUCCAUUCUGUAGGGACUCACCCUCAGAUCUUCUACAUUGUUUCUACAAGGCCACGUUAAUUAAAGGAGAGGGGAACAAAAAGACCAAGAUCUGGGACAGAGGUUUUAAAGGGAAGUUUAUUCAGGUUUCUCCAUCCCACAAAAUGCAAACAGUGAAAGGAACAACCUAAAAACUGCAUGUCAGAAAACAAAGAAGGGAAAGGGACGGAUGUGCUUAGAAUGGAAAACACAGUCUUUAACUGCAUAUAUGAUUAUUUCUUGUCCAAUAUUUGUAUUUUUGUGUGCGUGGUGCUUUCCUCUGUAAACACUGCAGUUAGCAUAGGUUUAGCCAAACCCAAGUCAGGCAUCUCUUCAUCCCUAGCAGCAAUAUACUGUGAAAUUAAAAGGCUGAUUAAUGAAGUUGCCAUUCCGAUAGGCAGCUCUUACUGCUCUUCCAUAAUUCAAAGGGUGAGUCGAGAUACAGGUGUCGAUAGCUUAAAUGUAUGCUGACAUGCCUGGUGCUAAAGCGAUGGUAGAAGGGGAUGUUUGUAAAUGAUGGAAACAUUAUUUCAGCAAAGGAGCUCUUCAGAGCUGAAAACACAGAACCACAGCUAGCUGGUAAACAUCGGUGUUAAAUGCAGUGGGAAUCAGAGUAGCUGCAACUCAAGGUCUGAGCAGACUUCACACUGUUAGUGUGGGCUGGGGGAAAGAGAGUUUGCACACAGUGCUAGGUGACCCCAGAUGCUGGUGCUCACAUUUGUAAGCUGCCCUGCAACACUGGCCUCUGCCAGGGGCAAAGAAAGCUACAGAGCAGAGAGCCUUCUUUUUAAUGCAGUUUUCCUUGCUUAUUCAUUUUCUUUGCAUUUAACCCUAACAGAGAUUUACUUUGACAAUUGGGAGAAGGGAGGUAAGCGCAAGCAGGUGCAUGAGGCUUAGAUGCAGCUUGGAUAUGAUAACAACAACAACAACAACAACAACAACAAAAUAAACUAACUGAAAAAAAAAAAGGAAAAAAAAGCAGAAUAGCAAAUGUUAUAGUGUUAGGUUGAAUCUCCUUAAUGUAGCUCUUGCACAAAUCUGAAGCUAAGAGUAUUAGGUUCCUGAAUGUGACUGUGAUGUGAGACCUAACUAUGAAAUAAGUUUAUAUCAUAGAAUCACAGAAUCAUUGAAUAGCCUGGGUUGAAAAGGACCAUAAUGAUCAUUGAGUUUCAAGCCCCCUACUAUGUGCAGGGUCGCCGAUCACUAGACCAGGCUCCCCAGAGCCACAUCCAACCUGGGAUAUAUAUUUGAAAUAUAUAUUUGAAAUGAUUGCCCAUAAUCCAUAAGUACUGUCUCUCACCAGUCAGUAAUUAAUAAUUAAAAAAAAAAAAAAGAAUAAACAGAUAUUUAACAUUUUAAUACACCCGUAAUGCGACCUCAGAUAUUUCAACAGACAGAGGUAUUCAUGGGUGGCUGAUGUUAACUGGUUGAAAAAUGCCUGGAGUGAACCAAAAUGUGUAAACUGAGAACAAAUUUUUUUUUUAAUUGUCUAUUUAUUUAUUUAUUCUGUCUUUCUGACUAUUUUUCUCUUCAGCGGAAUGUCCUUCUUUCACAGCUUUCCCUUUGUUAGAUCCAGUGAGAUCCACCACUCUUGAAUCACUCUGCAGGUUUCCCUGAAUGUGCUUUCAAGACUCCACACAUUUCAAAAUGUUCAUCUGGAGGAAAUGAAAACCCUAGCUAUCCAAACAACAGUAAAAGCAAUGGAAUCAAAUUUAUGUAAGAGUGGUAGAAAGAAAAAAGAAGGAAGAAGGUCCUCUAGGAGGUCACAGAUUGAUCCUAACAUGCUUACGGCAACUUCUGGUUAAUAAGAGCACACCCUGCUCCGGUAUAAACAAUCAUAAUGGUGAGUUCAGGAAAUCUGCAUCCUUUUCUACAGUGAGAAAUUUUCUUCCCAGUCCAUGGCUGAUAAUACGUGGAGAUGACAAUAUGGGCUGCAUGGUGGGGCUGCAAAGGUGGUAAUGAACAAGGACGUUGUCUUCAACUCCUAGACGUUCCCAGAAAAUAGCAAGAGUCAGGAUGGAGUUCAUCAUGCUUUCUUCCUUGUUCAUUCCCUCCCACUGCCCCUCACCCAAAUUCAGCAUGGCCAGCUAGGAAGGUUAGCCCAAGCAUAUUUACUCAGAUAGGAUGCAGAUUUAGCCACCUUGUAGUAUAUGGAAAGUAUAUAUAAAGGUCUUCUAUUAGUGUCCAAAAACAGUGCCACAGAAUAAAACCAGGAAGAGGAAAUUCUUACAUAAAAUAUCAGACAUUUCUGACUGUCCAGCUCUGCUGGAGUCAUGCUGGAGUCACCAAAGAUGUUUAGGAUGAGUCUUAUUCACCUGCACAAUAACAAGAACUCACAGGUUCAUAGAAUCACAGAAUGGCUUAGGUUGGAAGGGACACUAAAGAUCACUGAGUACAGCCACUUGCUGUGGGAAGGGCUGCCCCUUACCAGCUCAGACUGCCCAGGGUCCCAACCAAUCUGGCCUCUAGUGCCUCCAGAGAUAGGAUACCCACAGCUUCUCUGGGCAGCCUGUUAGGAUUUCUUCCUAACAUCUAACCUAAAUUUCUCCUCUUUUAGUUCAAAGCAAUUCCCCUUUGUCUUGUCACUAUCUGCUCUUGUAAAAUGUUGAUCUCACUCCUUCUCAUGAUCUCCCUUCAAGUACUGGAAAGCUGCAAUGAGAUCUCCCCAGGCUCUUCUUUUCUCCAUGCUAAACAAGCCCAACUACCUCAGCCUGUCCUCGUAGGAGAGGUGCUCCAGCCCACUGAUGAUCUCCAUGGCCCUCCUCUGGACCAGACCCAUUCCAAAGUCUUUCUUGUACUGGGGCCCCAAGUGACUGCCUGUAAACUUCAUAGUUUACUAGGAGUUGUUAUAACACAAUUUCAUACUGGCAACAAUAUGCAUGACAGUGGACCAUGAUGUUCUUUGAUAAUAUUCCACAGUUUGAAAACAAAUCUUUCUGGUUAUUAUGAUAAAUGCACAUAGGUCACUCUGAAAGCAAUGUCUCCUAUCUAUUUCCAUGGAAACUACAACAGCUACAAAGAGCACGUUAAAAUAUUUGACAGAGCAAAUUCUCAGCUAAGAAACACUAGUUUUCAGCAGUCACCACCACUGUCUAUGCAUUUGCACCAGAACAAGAGUUGAAUGCCACACUUGUAAAAAUUUGCACCAGUGGAAAUGACCCACUGUCUCUAUUGCCACUAAUGAAAUGCAUCACUCACCACCUCACUGUGCUCUCACCCACUGUUUGGUCUCCAAAAAUGUUCAGCAAGCAUUCAAAAAUGUCAAUUGCUGCCAUUUUUUCCACAUGGAGGAAUUAAAUGACACACCUUUGCUUUACCCACACUUCCAUGCCAGGCACCAUUUUGCCAGGCUGCCCCUCUGCUGCCAUCUAUUGCAUGGCAACAAAAUAUAAUGGGAUGUUGGUGGGAAGGUUCAACCUCUACUGCCAUACAACUAACAUCUGCCUCUGAUGUCAAGGGACAACAUCAUAAAAUAGGAGGCGUGACUUUCGGAGCUGCCCCCAUAGAUGUACCUAUUGCCUUUUACUAGACUGAAUGAGACCCGGUCAUGUAGGUAUCACAGUCUCUAUACUUUAUCUGCAUCUGCAUUAUUUGUGCACAGAAUACUAUUUGUACAUAGGCAUAUAAAAAAAAUUGCAUUUCCGUAUCUUUACAUUUCAGUGUCUCUGAAUGUAGAAAGAACAUAAAAAGAGCUUACAGGCUAUGUGCUAUUACCUUAUAGCUUGAGCAUACCUAAAAAGGCUUAUUCUGUAUUUUUAAAUAGCAGCUGUCUCACAGUCUAUGUGGCUUUAUCUACCAACAACUUGUGCUGUCAGGUACCACUGAAAGAAUAUCAGGUUUAGUUAUGCCUUCUCUUCCUACAACGAUGGUUUACCAUAAGAAAAGUAUUAAAGGUGUACAGUUCAUUUAAUCAGCGAUUUUGCAAGUGUUUUACUUAUGUCAACAAAGAACAAAUUGUUCAUAGCUUCUGGUAUCUGAAAGGCACUAUGCAGCAUAAAUUAUUCAAAUCAAAGCAACAUAAAUCUUCGUACAGCAAAGGUGAAGCCUCAGAAUUCCUGGCUGUGUGUUACAGCUUUGGGUAGGACAAUGACCUCUAAUCAGAACUCUUCAAUACAGUCCUUACACUGAAGAUGCCAACUUGCCACUAAGGACCUGAUUAUCUAUAAAUUUAUGGGAACCUGCAAUAACUGGUGUUUGCCUCCUGAUAAUGUUUUCUGACACAUAUCAGGAGAUUCAGCUGAUCUGUGUUAGAGAUUAUUGUACAGAAUCUGCAGUUUAUACAGGCAAUGAGUAGACAGAAGGUCCAUUUGAGACCUUUAGCUAUAGAGAAGCACAUAAGGAAAACUGUUUCCAUAGAAACAUGCCCCACAGCUGUAGUUAGUAUAGGAAAAAUAGUUUUAUGAUUAUUUCAAUGAAGUUCUACCUUUUGUUUUCAAUGCAAAAUGUAUACAAUAGGUUGCUUCACAGCAUGAUCUCAGUGUAGCUGAGGUCUUACAUGUGAAAUCCACCCCAAUGUGAAAGAACCCCGCGUUUCCCUCAUGUGUUCCUAAGAGCUUUAUUAGAUCUUGUGCAUAGUGUCUCUGACAGAAUGAUUUUUCCAUAAAAUAAAAUUGCUUUUCAGUAUUUAUUCUCUGUAUAAUAAAUGUUUACUUUUAUAUCAAUUCA